UGGGAGGAGCUGAAGCCUGUCCCAGCAGUCACCAGGGCGUGAAGCAGGGUACACCCUGGACAGGACGUCAGUCUGUCGCAGGGCCACAAACAGACAAAAAAACACACACAUUCACA